rnacentral:rRNA from 1 species
GAUGAACGCUGGCGGCGUGCCUAAUACAUGCAAGUCGAGCGAACGGACGAGAAGCUUGCUUCUCUGAUGUUAGCGGCGGACGGGUGAGUAACACGUGGAUAACCUACCUAUAAGACUGGGAUAACUUCGGGAAACCGGAGCUAAUACCGGAUAAUAUUUUGAACCGCAUGGUUCAAAAGUGAAAGACGGUCUUGCUGUCACUUAUAGAUGGAUCCGCGCUGCAUUAGCUAGUUGGUAAGGUAACGGCUUACCAAGGCAACGAUGCAUAGCCGACCUGAGAGGGGGAUCGGCCACACGGGAACUGAGACACGGUCCAGACUCCUACGGGAGGCAGCAGUAGGGAAUCUUCCGCAAUGGGCGAAAGCCUGACGGAGCAACGCCGCGUGAGUGAUGAAGGUCUUCGGAUCGUAAAACUCUGUUAUUAGGGAAGAACAUAUGUGUAAGUAACUGUGCACAUCUUGACGGUACCUAAUCAGAAAGCCACGGCUAACUACGU